rnacentral:rRNA from 1 species
AGGCGCCCCUAGUACGAGAGGAACGGGGUAUCGUAGCCUCUAGUUUACCGGUUGUCCGACAGGGCACUGCCGGGCAGCCACGCUAUCGAGGAUAAGGGCUGAAAGCAUCUAAGCCCGAAACCUCUCCCGAAAAUAGGCA